GAUGAACGCUGGCGGCGUGCCUAAUACAUGCAAGUCGAGCGAACGGACGAGAAGCUUGCUUUUCUGAUGUUAGCGGCGGACGGGUGAGUAACACGUGGAUAACCUACCUAUAAGACUGGGAUAACUUCGGGAAACCGGAGCUAAUACCGGAUAAUAUUUUGAACCGCAUGGUUCAAAAGUGAAAGACGGUCUUGCUGUCACUUAUAGAUGGAUCCGCGCUGCAUUAGCUAGUUGGUAAGGUAACGGCUUACCAAGGCAACGAUGCAUAGCCGACCUGAGAGAGUGAUCGGCCACACUGGAACUGAGACACGGUCCAGACUCCUACGGGAGGCAGCAGGAGGGAAUCUUCCGCAGUGGGCGAAAGCCUGACGGAGCAACGCCGCGUGAGUGAUGAAGGUAUUGGGAUCGUAAAACUCUGUUAUUAGGGAAGAACAUAUGUGUAAGUAACUGUGCACAUCUUGGCGGUACCUGAUCAGAAAGCCACGGCUAACUACGUG
rnacentral:rRNA from 1 species